rnacentral:misc_RNA from 1 species
AACACAAAAAAUGAAAAUUUGACUAAAUAGCAUAGGUUCUUCUUUGGAAUUCUAAGGAACAGGAGGGAGAAAAAACAUUGAAACGCAAAACAACAGCAAAACCAUACUAAUUGAAAAGUAAUGAAGCAAAAUUUAAACAAUGAGGCAAGAACAUCACCGGUAGUACAAAUUACAGAAGCAAACAUCACCGGCCUCUUGUAACUUGUUCUUCCAACUCCUCAACUGACGAAGGAAACAAUUCUAUAUAACGACUUCCUAGAGUCAUCCUAUCCUUAGCCAUUGCUGCUUUUGAAUCUUCUGCACUUGCAAAUUCCACAAAUGCUUCCCCAGUUGGCCUCCCCUCUGAGUUCAUUGUAAUAUGAACCGACUCCUCUGACAACACAAAAUCUUUGAAGAACUCCAUUAUGUCAUCCUUGCCAGCAGAAAAUGGCAGUCCCCUCAACCGUAAUACCCCUGUAUGUUCAGCUGAGUCCUUCCCCUCGUCAUAAGAUUUAGCCCUCGGAGCAUUUUGCCUUGGUGAACCACCACGAGCAUCUGAAACUUCAUUUGCAAUUGCCUUGUAAUAAUCCUGUCUCUUACUUCUGAAAACCUCAACAUAUCGCCUGCCCAUGUUCUGCCUAUUCUUUUGAAGAGCAAAGUCAACUUGAAGAGGAUACCCAAAAACACAAAAUGCUUCACCAGUGAACUUGCCACCCUUGUGGACGAAAAGAACAUCAACUAUGUCCAGACCAUGGAAGAACUCAGCCACAUCAUUUUCUGUGCAAUCAAAGGGAAGACCACGAAGUCGGACAACAGGGAAGGGAGGAGGUUGGGCAACAUAUCCAUAAGAUGGUGGAUUAUACAUAAAACUCGAACCAGGGGAAGUUCCAUAGAAUGAAGGACCCUGAUCAAGUAACCGCUGACGUUUUGCACCCAUUUCACGACCAUCGCCACCAUCAGGAUAUCUACCUCUGUAGAACAUUCUCUCAACAAUUUGUUUUCUUUUCUAACACUUGUUCUUUCCUUCUUCUUCGAUUGCUCGAUUUCUUCCUUCCUUCCUUCCUUUGCCCUUAACUCGGCUCUCAACUCGAAGCUCUUUCUGCGUGUAGUGUAGGGCCUACCGGGCGGACGUAGACGAUGAAAAUGUGUUAGACAACGACGUCGUUCGCUCCUUCACUCAAA